rnacentral:ncRNA from 1 species
GUUUUGGUCCUAAACUUGCCAUUGUUUUUUAUCAAAUUUACACAUGCAAGCUUCAACAGCCCAGUGAGAUUGCCCAAAACCCCUAAAUAGCCAAAAGGAGCUGGCAUCAGGAUCAGAGUACUCUAGCCUAAAACGCCUUGCUUUGCCACACCCACACGGGUAUUCAGCAGUGAAUGAUAUUAAGAUAUGAGCGAAAGCUCGACUUAGUUAUGAUAUAUAUGACCGGUAAAUUUCGUGCCAGCCACCGCGGUUAUACGAAAGGCCAAAAACAAUGACCUACGGCGUAAAGAGUGAACAAGGCUUGCCUAAACUUUAAAGAAUUACUAUUUCAAAGUCGUAAAACACCUUGCUCAUAAGACCAACAACAGCAAAAUGUCUUUAAACAAAAGACCUCCUACCCUCACGAAAGCUAAGAAACAAACUAGGAUUAGAUACCCUACUAUGCUUAGCCCUUAACAUAGACAAUAAGACACAAUAUUGUCCGCCAGAGAAUUACAAGUGAAAAACUAGAAACUCCAAGGACUUGGCGGUGCUCCAUACCAUCCUAGAGGAGCCUGUCCUAUAAUCGAUAAUCCACGUUWUACCUCACCACUUCUUGCAACUCAGCCUAUAUACCGCCGUCGUCAGCCUACCUUGUGAAAGUAGUAAAGUAGGCAAAAUAGUCAACAACUAAAACGUCAGGUCAAGGUGUAGCAAAUGAAGUGGAAGAGAUGGGCUACACUCUCUAUUAUAGAGAAUACGGAGGGCCUAAUGAAACUAGACCUAAAGGUGGAUUUAGCAGUAAUAUAAAAAAGAUAGUUUAUCUGAAAUUUGCUCUGGAGCGCGCACACACCGCCCGUCACCCUC